AAUUUAGAAAAAAAGUUAGCAAAUAUAGGAAUCUAAAAAAACCAAUAAAAAUGUAAAAUAAAAAUUGUAACUUACCAUGAUCUUGCUAAGCUGUUGUUUAUCCUCUUUCUACACUCUUAACAUCAACAAUAGAAACAAAAACAAGUAGCAAUAGGAAUUUGCCACAGUCACUAUAGACAUGGAGCCUCCAAAUAUAAAACCCGAAUCCCCUUCGACAAGAAGAAAAAUACUUAUACUCUGACACCUGGGACAUGCACCUUUUAAACCUGCAAACUCCAAAAGAAGAGAUAUGGUUUCAUCAAAUCAAAAAUUUGAGAAACUAAAGCAAAACCAUUUUGUUUCUGCUCAAAUUUGUACAACUAGGCAUAUGUAAAUGUGACAGUAGCUCACAUUUUGGAAACCAAGUGGGAUAUAUUAGAAUAGAUACAAGCUGCUGUUGUUGCUAUGUAAUAAUUCCAUUAGGUAGUUCUGGGCUAUCGCAGUCACAGAGAAAAUACCACUUGGGAUAAAUUGAAAACCAGUUCUUGUGAAAGACAAGUUUCAUGCACUGAAUGGUUCCCAACUUUCAAAGGAAAUAAAAGAUCAUACAACCUUAUGAGCGGCUUCCCCAGGAGGGCAAGAAGAGGUUCUUAUUUAUUAAAGAUGCAAAUGAAAUCUUGAUUCAGAGGACCUCUGUAAAGCACUGAAGAAUCUAUCACAAGUCAUAAAAGGAAGAAAAUUUUACAAAAAUAGUCCUUAGAACACAAUAAUAUAUAGAAUCAACUAUAUAAAUGAAAGUCACGCACCACAAUUUUGCUAGAUUGUAUUUUAUCCUCUUUUAGUCGUACUAAAAAAUGGUAAUAAAGUGCCAAUGAGCCUUUGAUAUAGGAUGAACAUUCCAAUCAGUUAGCACAAUGAAAAGACCACAUGACCUCCUGUGAUACUUUGCACCCAUCCUUUUGACACCUGCAUCAUCAAUGUAAACAAUUUGGUACAUAAAACUGUAAGACUUAUUAUUACCGUUCAGAGGUAGCCGAGUUAAAUGGCAACAAAUUGCAAAUAUAUGUAUGGGAAAUAGAAAGUGAUAUUGAGGAGAGAAAGAGGAAGAAUUGCAUGUUGGGAAUGAGCAUCCAGUGGACAAGAAGAAAAUUCAAGAAAAUUAGUCAUCAAAAUAGAAAAAUAAAUAAACAAAAUAUAUAGAUGACGGUGACUCACUGUAGUCUUGCUGGGUUAUUCUUUGUCCCCUGUUGACACUCAAAAAAAAUAAAAAAAAGAGCAACAGGGGACAACUGGAACUAGCUGCAUUCACUCCAUACUUUGAAGUCUUUGAUAUAAUACCUAGAGUUCCAUCCUCUUUGAGAACCUGCAUCAUAAAUGUAAAAAUUUAAUAACCAGAUGACAAGACACUGGAUAGUAGCUAUGAUGACAUCUAAUAAGUUGAACUAAAAAAAUCAUGGCUGCACAGGGGAAUUGAUAAAGCCAUCUAAUUACCAUAGCAAUCGAACUUUAAUAAACUGCAUUUGCUUCUAGUAUAGCCUCCUCUGUAUGUCAGCCUGAACUCUAUUCUGGAAAUCAGAAAAUUAUACUUAAAAAAUGCAAUUGAAUAGUACAACUGAUGGAAUAAAAAUCAGAAGACAUUGCUAACCAGUGGCUAUUGCUAAAUAUUCCACCUGCCCUUGAAUGGCAUAAAUGGAUCCUCUCUUAUCCUUUUUAUCGUUGUAAGUAUCACAUAUCACCUCUUCAACUUCAAUGGUCACUGAGAACUAAAAAGAACAAAGGAAAAAGGAAAAGUGUGUACCCCAUGGAGAUUAUGGACAAGAUUUACUAAAUAGAAUUGGAGAGGCAGAGGCAGUGAUGCAUACCUAGAAUUGUGUCAAAUUGAAGAGAAAACCAAGCUACAAGCCAUUUCAAAAGCCACUUCCUAGGCAAAUUUUUAACAAAAAGUCUAGUAAGAAACGUACAAGUAAUCAAUUGGGGAAAUUGCUAUAAUGUAUAUGAGAGAUUGAACGCGGUAUUGAGGAGUGAAAGAUAAAGAACAGGCGUACCUUGUUUAAUGUAAAGAUGGGAGAGGGUUGAAUGGUGUUUGCUUCUAUGUUCUGCAAUCCCUCAACUUAUUAUUGCUCAAAGACGUUUUUAUCAUCUAUUUCCACAUAGGGAAUGUGGGCGAUGUUGGGCCAAUCUUGCCCUUUCCCUUUCGAGCACCUUUGUUUUAGGAGCGGGCAGUCUGUGAUAUAUAGUCGUGAAAGCGUGUCAGGCAGCCCUUCCCUUGGGCAAAACGACUGAAGCUUAGGGCAACGUUGGAUCCAUAGAUCUUCAAGUGAGGUGAGGGUUUGGAGAGCCAGGGAGGAUAGAGAUUUCAGAUUCUGGAAAUCUUGAAUGGAAAGAAAGGUGAGGGUUGUAGGAAGAAUCGGUGGUCUUUGACCAUCUGAAAAGGAGGCAACUCGUGGAAAUAUGCCACCAAUGGUGAGUUCUUUAAGAGAGGUAAGUGUGGCAAGGCCCCAUCGGGAUAGGGGCAUCUUGAUAUUCUCACAACGGUAGAUACCAAGUGAUGUAAGAGCAGUGAGGUUUUGCAGUUGAUGAGGUAGCAGCUCCACAUUCUCACAAUUAUUAAUCUCCAGUUCUCUGAGUUUGUAGAGGCAAUCUGGUACAAUUUUGAGACAGGGAUACGACCGGAUACUCAAAUAUUCAAGUGAACUAUUAUUGGAGUGAAACGUCUCCUUUGAAAUCGACUCCAGUUGUGCACAAUCCCAAAUCUCAAGUUUCUUAAGGGUGGAGGGAAACUUGCCUGUGGGGAAGAAUGUGAGAGAUGGACAUUUCCAAAUGUCCAAGACAUGAAGACCACCACUGGUGGCGGUGGUGGUGUUGGAAUCAUGGUGCAUCAUUCCCCCCGGUAGAGACUCUAGCUUUUCACACCUCCAUAUCUUGAGUUCCUUGAGCGUGGUGGGUAACUCACCUUCUGGAAAACCAAUGAGAGAUGGACACGUAUGUAUGUGCAAGUAUUCAAGGAGACACACGUCGCUACCGUUAUUACUACCGUCUUUCAUCACCAUCAUCCAAUCAGGUAGACAUCGUAGACCUUCACAACUAUGAAUAACAAGACGUCUAAGCAUGGGCGGGAACCCCAACUCUGGAAAUGACACCAGCUUUGGACAAUCAUAGAUUUCCAACUCUCCAAGACAUGUUAGCCUGUACAGUCCAUUGGGAAGCUUCUCUAGGUUAUUACACCACCUAAUUUUCAAAGAUUGAAGCUUGCUAGGCAGCUCGUGCUUUUCCUUUUCUCCCAAGGAUACAAGCUCGGGACAACUGCUAGUUUGCAACUGCUGAAUACCAUCAAAUCCAUUUUCCCACAAACACGUCAAUUUAUCACAUCUAUCAAUGUCUAAAACUUGAAGCCCCGACAACAAUUGCAUACAACCUUCAUGUAAUCUGGUGAGCCCUACCAUUCUAUCAAUUCCUAACUCGGUGAGUGAAGGCAAUUCCAAUCCACUCCUUAGUACCGCCUCAUUGCAAUCUUGUACUCUUAAUUUAGAAAGAGAUGGAAGCCUUUCAAGUGGAGACACCAACUGUGGGCAUGUCCCAAUGGAGAAAUGUACAAGGGACGGUAGGUUAGUGGGUAGUUUCUUGAUUAAUUUGGGGCAAUUUAUGAUUUCAAGGUGAAGGAGACAAGGAUAUGGCUCUGAUAAAGAUGGACUCUCCCAAUCUUCCCAUUGUGACAUAGCCGAAAAAGAUAGAGACUCUAAGGACGGGAAAGGCUUAUUGGGAAGACAAGUCUCUCCAUAAAACUCUCUACCCACAAUUUUUACUUCUUUUAACCCUUCAAUCCUUACGUGUUUGAGCAUGGGUAACCACCCCAAACACGGUAAAGAUGUGCAAUUUCUGCAAUUCACCAGAUUUACAUCCACCAUCUUCGAGAAUGAAACAUCUCCUAUCCAAGGGGGAAAUUCUGGACCACCAUAAUACUCAAUUUUUAGUUUGUUCAAAUUGAAGUGUGGCUGUAAAGAGUCAAGUACAUCUUUUUGAUUCCUUGCAUUGUGUGAAUCAUUCAACCCAGCACUCCACUCUAUCGUCAAUUCUUCAAGCUUCUGCUUCUUGUUUAGACUAGCAUCCCUUGCAUCUUGAACAUUUGCUACAUUUUCCAACUUUGAAAUGCAAAGUCCCCCUUGAAGUUGGGGCAUAUUCCUUAACUCCUUUACAUUCAAACCAUUGUCUUUACCCACAAUAAAAUUAGACAAUACUUGUAAGCCUUUUAAUUUGCAAAUUCGUGGAGGCAUUUCUUCUAGAUUUGUAUUGGUCACAUCAAGGUGUCGAAGAUUAUUUAGGUUUCCAAUGCUCAAAGGCAACCUAAUAAGCUUCCGACAAUUUGAUAAUAUUAAUGUCUCUAAGUUAUGGAGGUUACCCAGUGAAUCAGGUAAUCGUUUGACUUUUGUUCUGGAUAAAUUAAGAUACCUAAGGUGUUUCAAAUCACCAACUGAACUUGGUAUCUCACUUAUCCGAUAACCACUCAAUAAAAGCACCCUUAGGCGUCGUAGCUUGGGCAUCAAUCCCUCAAGUACCUUGUUGCUUAACCAAUUAUAAUCCCAUAAUGGAUCAAUUGGUAAUGCAAUAAACGUACGCAAAUUCUCCAUCCCAUAAAAGGCUUCAAACUUUUUGAAGAUAUCGUAUCGGUCACGAAUGAAUGAUGAAUGACGAGCCUUUUUAGAAAUAGUCUGCUGCUGAUUACCUUCCAAAUUCUUUUCCAGAGAAAAACAUAUUUCUCCACCAACAAAUUUUGCUAAAUCGUUAACGAGAUCAUGCAUUACGAAUUGGGAUUUAUUGCUACUUGAUGGUUGAAAAAAUGAUCGAGACAACAAUUCCUGGAAGUAGUUAGCGCCUAAAUCUUCAAUUUCGAUUUGUUGCCUAUGACAUUCUAAGUGUUGAAUUAGACUCUCUGCCAUCCAUAAGCGAAUCAGUUCUCUCUUAUCAAAUUCAUAGUCUUUCGGAAAUAUUGCACAAUAACUGAAACAUCUCUUCAGUGGAGAGGGGAGGUGAUUAUAACUUAAUCUUAAUGCAGGAAGAAUACCGCAUUUAUCACUCGGUAAAUCCCAUAUUUUGCUAGUCAAAAUAACAUUCCACUCAUGUUCUCUCUGUUCAUGGCGUAGAAGACUACCGAGUGCUGUUGCUGCCAAAGGCAAGCCUCCACACUUUUUUACAAUUUCCUUGCCGAUCAAUGCCAAAUUGGAAUGCUCAUCAAUGUUGCUAUUUCCAAAUGCAUGUUUCUUGAACACCGACCAACACUCAUUAUCUGAUAAAUUUUGUAGCUCGUGCAAGUUCUUAUCUCCUUCCAUUAUAUUUGCGACCUUCUUACUCCGUGUCGUGACUAUGAUUUUGCUGCCUCGUGAACCCGACAAAAAGGGAGACUGUAAGCAACGCCAAUCAUUAUAGUUGUCAUUCCACAUAUCAUCGAGAACCAGAAGAAAUUUUUUUCCCUUCAAUUCCUCCCCCAAUUUAUCUUGAAUUUGAUGGAAGUCUAGUGAAUCAGUAUUGCUCUGAGAAGUACUGACCGAGUUGAGGAUUGUCUUGGUUAUUCUCACUGCAUCGAACUGAUCUGAUACACAAACCCAGGCCUUUAGAUCAAAAUGCUUGGCUGUCUCAGGAUGAUCGUACACCAACCUUGCUAGUGUGGUCUUGCCCAUACCACCCAUGGCCACGAUGGAAACUACAGAAACAUUGGUUUCAAUGGGCUCAUCCCUAAGCAGCAUAUCCAUUAUAAUCUGUUUAUCAGCAUCCCUGCCAUAAACCCAAGGUUCGUAUACCAGAGAUGUAGUGAGUGGCCUUUCCCAAGUAGACUGGGUUAUAGCAGCCACCUUGUCCAAACCAAGCCCAGCCUUUUGGGCAUAUAUAGCUUCUAAUCGGGUGGUAAUGUCCUUUAUCUCGCACCCCAUCUUAACAUUACGCAUACAACCAAUAGGAGUGAAAGUAGUACAACAAGUAGGGAUAAACUUGCGUACCUUGCUUGUGCUGCCUUCACCAUCAGCUUCCGCCAUCACCUUUCUUCUUAAAGCUUCGUAGGCAAACUCGUCCAAGAUGUCCUCCAUGUCAUAAACCAAAUCCCUCAGAUCGCCCAGCCACGUUUUCACCGACUGCUUCGUGAUCUGCUUCUCCUCCGCGUCAUUCAGCACUUCAUCAAUCUCCAAUAAUUUUUUCUCCCAUAUUUCGAGCUCGGCGCGGAUUUUCUCUUGGCGUGCAAACUUGAGAUCAGGGGAGCGCAGUUGGUUAAACAAAGCUUGAAGGGAGUAAGAAAGAACAACCUCUGCAACAACUUCCAUGGUUCGUUGGUAGGGAAAGAGAGAGGUAGGAUACCAAGUGGAAACAAGAGAAUAAAAAACAAUUGGUUUGCUCUAUCAAGGCUUCCCCAAUUAUCAAAGACAGUGGACUCUGCUCCUUCAGAGUGGUGGGGCUCACACGUAAAGAAGAAGAAACUAAGGGAAAAGAAGGAAUCCAAGGCAACUGGUGCUAAGUGGAGCCAUUGGAGAGAUAAUUAUUCAAGUCUUGGACCACUCUCCAAUUUCCCACUACACUGGUUUUAGGGGUGGGUGACAUACUCACAUGAAGUGACAGAAAGCAGGGCCCUCUAAUUCAAAGUUUAUUUUACUAUUAAAUAAAUAAAUAAAAAAGUCAUUUUCUUAAAACCCUUCUACAAUUUUCUGACAAAGCAAAUGACUUCUGUAAGCAGGAUACCAUUCUUGUGAAUGGGAAAAGGAAGAAGGUUGAAGGAAGAAGAGUAAACAAGUUUUCCCUUUAUUUUAUAUAGAUUGGUGAUUAGGCUGAAGUAGAGAUACCUUGCUACCUCGCUGCAUCUUCAAACGAUAAUGUUGAUUAAAGAUGAAUUGAAAGCCAUGCUUUGCCUGCGAAGUUUGAUUAGAGAGGAAUCUCUAAAUCAAAUUUUGUGAAACAAUUGGUUUGCUUGCUGUAUCAAGGCUUAGCCAAUUAUCAAAGACUGAAGGUAAGAGAUAAGGAGUUGAAGGCAACAGCUGGCAAGCUGGCAAGUGGAUCCAUUGGACAUGAUUUGAUUAUUCAAGUCUUGGACCACCCUGCAAUUUUCCACACCGCACUGGGUGGUGGGUCAGAGAGUUAAGGAUAACGUCAGAAAACCAAACAUGAAGCGACGGAAAGCAGGGCCCCUGUACGAAAAUAUUACUCUGCAACAAUCAAAAUAAUCAAAGAAUCAUGCAUUGAAAAAUUGCAAGCUAAUGUUGUUAAAUUUUAAAAAAUAUGAAUUCAGAAAUUAUUUGUAAAUAUUUAGAAAUUGCUAAUGUUGGCUUUAGUUCAAUUUCACAAAAAUAGAAUCAUGCAUUGAAAAAUUGAUUUGAAGUUGAAGUUUUACAAUUUCCUUAUUUAUUUUCUAGGAGUUCAUAUAGGAAUAAGUUACAAAUACAUGGGAGGAACUUACAAAGAUGUAAACAAGUAAUUAGGUUAAGGACUCCACUUCCAAGCAGGCCAUGUGCUUUUAAGGAUAGAAAAAAAAUUGUUUAACACAUUAAUAAGAACAAAUAAUUUAAUGUUUAAGAAUAUUAAAAUAUGAAUAAAAAUAAACAAUUUAAUCUUAGCCAGAUUGUGUUCUAUUUAAAAUUCAAUAAAAAUCUAUUUAAAUUUAAGAUAGAGAAACAAACUAGAUAUAAUUUUUUCACUUCUUAUAUUUUAAAAUAUUUUUUAAUUAAGCAUUCUUAAUAAUAUUUUUAUUUCUUAUAAAAAAAGUUAUAAUUAUUUCAUGGAUGAUUAUUAACUUUUUUUUUUAAGAGAAAGAUAUAUCGUUGAAAUAGUUUUUAAGAAAAGACAAUGAAAUAGAAUCUGAAAGUUGAAUUAUUGAAAAUAUUGUAACCUCUAAAGAUAAAAUGAAAAUACUAAAACAUUGAGUGAUGAAAUUUAGGUUAUUGAAUAAAAAUAUAAAUAAAUUAGAUCAAAAUAUAAAAAUACAAAUAAUCGAGACAUAUGUGAUGCGUGAGACAUGCUAAAUAAAAAAUUUUGCUCCCACAAUUUCUAUAAUAUUAAAAGAAAGUCAAUUUUUUAAUAAUCUCUUUCCAUCUUUUGGUACACGCAAUAGAAUAAAAUAUAACCAUAAUUCUAUACAUUUCUUUCACGGGAAAAAAAGAAGGAAAAAACUUGGGGUGCUGGCACAUUGGGUGUCCACAAGUGGACCUUGUAUUCAAUUAUUGGUAAGAGAUGGCCCGGAUAGGUGGCAAUUAUUGGGGCUCUUUUACUUAAUAGAAUAGAUUUAUAAAAUAAUUUUAAAAAUGACUUCAAAAAGUAUAUUGAAGUCUAUGAUAAUUGUUAAAUGUUGUCGAUUUGAUUUUACUUCUAAUAAGAAAUCUUUUUUAUUUUAGUAUGGAAACUUUUUAAAACAGUGAUUUACUUCCAUUGAUUUAAUGAUAUUAUUAAAUUAAAUUUAAAAAGAUUUGUUAAAAGUAAGUUUUUUUAUUAAGGUAGAGUUGGAUUCGAAGUUUUAAAAUUAAGUUAAAAUAUCUUAAUUAAUUUUUGACAAUUUUGAGGUUUUAUUUUAAAAAAAUUUCUUAAUUAAUUUAUAGAAAAUUAAUAUUUUACUUUUUAAACAAAAAUUAUUUUGUUAAUUAAUUUUUGAAAAUUUGAUUUUUUUUUUUUAAGAAAUUCAAUUUCAAACCAUCUAGGCUCUUAGGCCUAUAUAUAUUAUCUAAAUGUGUUUUUGGGUUGGAUGCUUUAAUAAAAUUAACCUCAACUUGCUCUAUCAUUCAUAAACUCUCAACAAAGAAUUCACUAAUCAAAUCCCAUAGUUUUUUAUUUCCAUAAUUAAUAUGAUGAUUUUCCACAUAAAAUUGAUUGUCUUGUAUGUAAUUGUGAUUUUAUUAUUUAUAUGGAUAUGUGAAAUUGACAAUAUUGCCCCUAGCCUCAAGCAUAGGGUGUUACAAACAUCCUUAUUUAUCGACUCUCAACAUGAUUAUACUUUUCAUAGUAACUUAGCAUGAAAAUCUUUCAAUUGUCAUAUUCUAACAUUAUCUAUAAGUUUCUUGAGUAUUGAAAUUGACAAUGCUUUUGUGAAUAAGUUUGUUAAAUUAUCAUUUGAUACUUUCUGAAUACUAAUUUUAUUACUCUUGUGGAGUUUAUGAAUAUAAAAGAACUUGAAUGAUAUAUGGUUACUUUAGUUUGAGUUUUCCUCUUUUUAUCAUUAUGGCCUAUAUGAUUCUUAUUGAUCUAAAAAUUAAAUUUAAAAAAUUAGGCAAGAGAUUAACCUACUUACAAUUUAUUAAGCCUGAGUCACUAAAAUUAGUCAAUUAAAUUAGUUUGUUAUCUUUUUCUUUUUAUAAUAAUAGUUGGCAAGGUUCUUAUCUAUAUCAAGAUUAACUUAACUAUUAGGUAAGGCUUAAGAGAACUUACUUGCAAUUAUUAAAUUUGAGUUAAUAAAAUUAAUCAAUAGAAUUAACUCGUCGUCUUUUUGUUUUUAUAAUUGUGGCCGACUUAGUUCUUAUCAAUAUGAAGAUUAAAUUAAAAGAUUAGGUAACGGCACCCACUUGCAAUUUAUUAAACUCGAUUAAGCAAAAGUAGCUUCACUUAUUUCUCUUUUUAUGAUUAUGGUCAGCAAGGUUCUCAUCAACAUCAAGAUUAAUUUAAAAGAUUAUGUAAGGGAACCUAUUUGCAACUUGUUAAAUUUGACUCAUUCAAAAGGUUAGUCAAGCAAAUACACUUGCAAUAAUUUACAAUCAAAAUCCACUUUAAAAUAAUAAAUAUAAGCUAUCUUUUUUUGGUUGCAUUGAACUUAUUGAUAAUUAGAUUUAAACAUAAUUAAUAUAAUUAUUUAAGUAUUAAUUAAGUUUUCAAAACUAAUUAAAAUUUAAACAUCACUAAUUAAAUGAAAUAGUAUAAAAUUUAAUUAAUUAUUAUAUAUAUAAAAUAAACUUUAAUUAUCUAAUUAAAAUUAUUAAAUACUUAAGUAUUACCAUGCCUAAGAAUUAAAAGAACUUUUCAUUUUUUCAAGGCAUAAAAAAAUAACAAAGGAAAAAUCUUGAUUCAAAUAAAUAAAUAAUUCCAUGGAAAAUAUAGAAAUGAAAAUAAUAUUUAUAUUGUGUAAUACUAUAUUGCAGUAGUCUACAAUUUAUCAGUCUUAUUUGGAUUGAUUUUUAAGAAGUCAAAAGUUCUUUUAUAAGCUCAAGAAGGACUUCUAUGUCUCUUUAAUUAAUUUUAUUUGAAUGGCUAAUGGUUUAAAAAGAAGAUAUGAAAACUACAUAUAUUUUUUUUUAUACUUUUUAUAAAGGUGCAUAGCACCUCAUGCUAAUAAUUUUGUAUAACAAAAUAAAUAUUUCAAAGGCACCUCCAAUUACCUAGAAAAUGAAUUUUCAAUUUAUCAAAUACUUAAUUUUUGUAACAAAGAUGUUUUUGAGCAUUAUCGAACAUUUCUAACUUUUCUAAAAUCAUGACCAAAUGACUCAUAAUCUUUUCGAAUACUAAAACAUUCAUCAAAUUAUUUUGUUAUGAGCUUUUUAUUUUAAUUAAAAGGUUAAAAUAAACACUAACUUUAUUAAUUUUAUGUUCCAAAAUAAGUUUCUUUGAAAGCUUGUAAUGUAAAUUGAUUAAUGAAUUUCAGUUAUGAAUGAUCUCGGGGAGUUUGAAUUAGAAAUUUUGAGAUAACACUUUUUUUUAAUUGUUUAUGAUUAAAUAUGUAUCAAAUAAACGUACAAAACUGAAAAGACUUUAGAGGGUGAUGAUAAAUCAAUUUAAUGACUUAAUUUAAGUUAUUAAAUAUAUUAAGCAUGUUUGAUAAAAUAAUAAAGUUAAAAAUGAUUAUGAGAAAUCAUCUUAACAAUUAAGACUCCAUGACUUAAAUACAAUUAAUUUAACUUAAAGUCAUCUUACCCCGAUAAAUAUCAAGUUUUACCAAAAUUGUUGUUAAUGAUCUCAAUAAUUUUUUAUUUUCUUUCUAAAUAAAAUUAUUUUCAUUUAUUUAUUAAUGGAUUAUGGAGAAUAACCAUCCUCUCCCCAUCCUCUUUUUAAAUUGCAUACCAAAAGUUAGAUAGAGAUUCAAAAAGGAUCCAUAAAUGCAAGUGAUGGAAGGAGCAAUUAAUUUGUUUUAUUAUUCACCAUUUUUCAAAUUCCAUUUUCUGUGAAUACCCCUCCUACCUAAAUGACUUUUAAACAAAAACUUUGAUCAUGUUUUCUAUGCUUGUUUUUAAAAAUUAUUUUUAGUGUUUUAUAGAAAUAAAGGUGUUUGACAAAUUAUUUUUUAAACCAGUUUUUAAAAAUAAAAAAUAAAAAUUUUGUUUGAAUAAAUUAUUUAAUUUUUUUUUUAUUUUGUAAAAAUAUUAUAAAUUCAAUUUAUAUAACGUGAAUUAAACAAAAAUCUUUUUAUUACGUUUCCUUCCUUAGGUUAUAUUUGGUUUUCAAAAUUUUGAAGGAAAGAACAUAAAUAAAAAAUAAACUUUGCUGUAGUAAAUUUUCUCUUCCUUUUAAUUAAAAAAAAUAUUAAGAAAUCAAAAUCUUAGCUGGAUCAUUGGAGUCAGCGUGGGACUUCCAGGCUGGCCCGUGUGCAUGCCAUUAUUUAUUUAUUUUUGUAAUUUCAAAGCAUAUUAUUUUUAUUUUCAAUAUUUUAAGACUGGCGCAUUUUUCAAGCUUAAGAUUCUCUUUAUAAUUAUGGACCUAUGGUUGUUGGUUGUAUCAAGAUUAAUUUAAAUGUUAGAUAAGACUUAACACAAUUUACUAGCAAUUUAUUAAAUUUGAUUUGAUAAAAUUAGACAAUAGAAUUAGCCUGUCAUCUUUUUCAUUUUAUAAUUAUGGCCGGCUUGGUUCUUAUAAAUAUGAAGAUUAAAUUAAAAGAUUAGGUAAUGACACCCACUUACAAUUCAUUAAACUCGAUUUAGUAAAACUAGCUUAUAAAAUUAGCUUGACUUUUUUGUUUUUUAUAAUUAUGGUCGACAAGCUUUUUCUCAAUUUGGGAUGACAAUAAGACGAUUUUUUUUUUACCUAUCUCUAAUAAGACAAAUUUGAAAUUUAAAUAAAUCAAUUAGGAGUGGAUUUGAGAAUUUUUUUUAAAAAAACCUAAGGCAAGUUUGGGAUGAGUUUGAGUAUUACCUAGUCCUGCCAACCCUACCUUGAUUAUACAUAAAAUUAAUUUAAUUUAACUUUUAUUUUCCUAUUUUUAAUAAAAUAAGUUAUAAAAAAUUAUAAUAUUUUAAUCAUUUAUAAAAUAUGUUUAUUUUGAUAUAAUUUAAUUUUUUUAAAAAAAUUAUUAUUAUCAUUUUUUUUUAAGUUAAAGCCAAGGUAUAGAAAAUUUGUAUACCCAUCCUGCCCUACCUCAUCCCAUUUAAUUUUUUUAAUAGGACGACUGACGAGUAUGAAAAUUAUUUUGAAUAAAUGAAAUAGGAGUGGAAUGAGUGCAACCCAUCCCCAACUUGCACUGUUGUCUUCUCCAACGUCAAGAUUAAUUUAAUAAAAGAUUAGGUAAGGGAAUCUAGUUUCAACUUAUUAAAUUCAAUUAAUUUAAAAGGUUAGUCAAGCAAAUCCACUUGCAAAAAUUUAAAAUCGAAAUCCACUUCAAAAUAAUAAUGAUGAGCCAUUUUUUUUCUUCUUGCAUUGAAUUUAUUGCUAAUUGGACUUAAAUAUAAAUAAAACUAAUUAAAAUUUAAAUACCACUCAAUAAAUAAUAUAAUAAAAUAUAAUUAUCUAAUUAAAAUUAAUAAAUACUUAAAUUAGGUUGGAGUUAUUUGGCCUCACCCAAAGUUCAAUUCGAGGUGGAUUUUUUAAUCUACGCAUAAUUUAAAUUGUAAAAGAGGCCAUCCAAGUCUUUUCAAAUUCAUUUAAAUUGUAAAAGAGGUCAUCCAAGUCUUUUCAAAUUCUUAUUGAGUUUGAAUUUCGUUAUGUUGAAACUUCCCAAAUUUGAUUACUAAUUUAAUCCAUGAUAAAUUAAAGUGAUGGUUUAAAAGAAUGAAAUAAAAUUUGAACAUUUGUCGAGAGAUGGACCGUCUUUAGUAUUAGUAAUUGGCUUCUGAUAGAUUUGCAAGGAUGUAGCACAACUACAAGGCUUGGUGCGAUGGGGAGUGUCUGGUGGUCAAGAGUGCAUACAUGAUCCCAACUUACUGUUUAAACUAGGCAAAAAAGUUGUCAUAGGAUGAUAUCUAACUGUAAAUUUACCAACAACAAAUAAUUGAUUUCGAAAUUAGGACUCCCAAGGGUGUUCUCGUUGAGUGGUUAUGCAAUAAAUGAGACACCAAAUUCAUUCUAUGGUUUAAAACAUUUGAUUCAAGAGAUGAUCAUUUAUUAUAAUCUUCAAAUGUUGAUACAAUCAAGUUAUAAACAUUUUACCAAGAUACCUAUUAACUUCGGGAAUCUAAUUAACCUUUGAUAUCUUGAUAUUAUUGUUACAAGUCUAUUAGAAGAAAUGUCUUUAGAAAUUGACAAACUAAAAGAUUUGUAAAUACCGUCUAAUAUCAAUCCCGGAUUGGAUGGGGAGAAAGGUUCAUGAUAUAUGUAGUGAGAUUCUCUUAAUUAUUAUGUUGAUGAAUUUUGAGCCGAGUGUUUUGCCCUAGAGACACCAUCUGAAUGGGCCCUUUUGUCCCAAAGACAACAUCUACAUGGAAAGGAGCAGUCGUUAAUUCAAGGAAAAAUCUUUCCACCUGAAUCUAAACUUUUCCAGAUGCUCGCUCUACAGCAGGUUUGGAUAGCCCAACUGAUUGAGUAGCCUAUCCCAAGAAGUCAAAAUAUGAAGUUUUGUUGAUUUGAAUCCAUUAUUUGGUCCUAAGUCGCUGAAUCUUUCUGAAUUUUCCACAGUAAUCAUUCCAAAUAUCCCAAAAUUUUAGUUCAUUUGGCUGAACUGCUAGGGAGUGAUAAUGACAAAAAACUUUAAUUUGAUUUAGGAGGGUCACCUGUAUCUCAAUUCAUAGAUUCUAAAGAAUGGAUUACUUAACAAGAAGCAAACCCAUCAGAAAUGCUUAACCCUCGAAUCUUACUACGAGAAAAUGGAACAUAAACAGCAAUGACCAAACGCUCAUUUUCAGAUAAUCAACGAAGCUAAAACCGAAGAAAAAUCAAACCAAUUCUUGAAAAAACAAAGCAAUAAGAGCUCUUCAAACUAUCAAAUUUCUAUAAACGCAGUAAAAAUAAAUAAAAAAAAUCCACAACUGCAACUAACUAGCUGAAAAGAAUAGUCCUUGAAAUUACCCUUUCAAUGGAUGACUCAGAGGAACGAACAAACCGGACAACUGGGCUGGCCUUGGGGUCAGGGAGGGCAUAGUUGAAGGUGGAAUUGAGGGGUCUAGAGGACUCAACCGGGGGCUUUGAUGGUGGGUUCGAAGACAAGAUGGUUUCAGUAGGAGGAGAUGGUGGCGGCGGCGGCGGUGAUGAUUCAUGAGAUGAUGAGCUCACGGAAGCGAGACAAGGCGAAAAUCGCCUGUGAUUUGUGGGAGGACGAAGACGAGACAGGGAGAGCGACAGUGGAGUGUAGGACAUUGCAGCGAAGAGGGCCAUCGCAGAGGGAACUGAGAGAGGAAAGGACAAAACAAAAUGAAGAAAGCGUGGUGUGAGCCUGUGAGGAGUCUGAGGACUGACAUAGUGACAUAUGAGGUCAAUGUUUUGUGUGUGUGGAGCCCACGGUUGCUCAUCACGCGGGUAAAUUAACGGUCUGGUUUAAUCGCAUAGCUCACAAUUCUGAGUCCGAAAAUCAUUUUAAAUACUUUCUUAUUUAUUAUGCUCGUAUAUAAAAAACAAAAUAUAUCAAUUAUAAAUUUCACAAAUUAAUUUUUUUAACCGUUGAUUUGGUUAAUAAAUAUAUAUAAUAAAAUUAUACUCUUUCUCGUAAUUAUUUCCAUAUAUAUAUAUAUAUUUCUUGGGUCAGAUUUUCUUAAGAUUAAUUUUGAUGAUUAUGGAGCAAAAAAUUAAAUUUUAGGAGGAUUUAUUCUCAGUAGAAAGGAUUACUUGGAGGAUAAUGUUGAAGGUCUAGGAGCCGAAUAAUCUAAGUAUGAGGAGUUUAAGGUUAUGUUUAGUUCCUUAAAGUUAUUAAGGAAAAAAUAAAUAAAUAUUAAGUAAAUAAAAAAUAUUAAAAAAAAUAAAUUUCUUGUAUUUAAUUUUAUAAUAAAAAAAUCAAACAUAAUUAAAAUGGUAAAAAAUUUAUAUAUUUUUAAAUUGUUAAUCCUUAUAUAAUAAAUGAAAAUAAUUAAAAAAAAUUAUUUUAUUUUAUUUUAUUUACUUUCCAUCACUUUUUUCUUUGAAAUAGUGAAUGAAAAAAUAAAAUUAAAGUUAAUAAAUUAAAUUAAUUUAAUUUGUUAUUUCAAACUUAUUUUAAAUUUUUAUAUAAAGAUAAAAUAAUUUAAAAAUGUAUAGAUUUUUAACCAAUUUUAAUUAUAUUUGAUUUUUUUUUAUUUUUCAUAUUAUAACAUAAUAUGAAAAAAUCACUUUCCUCGUUAUUUUUUUCUUUAUUACUUUUUGAAACAAAUAUAACCUAAGAGUAUGUUUGGUUUCUGAAAAUUUAAGAGAAAAUGUUAAGGAAAGAUAAAACAAAAGAAAAUAAAAAAAUAAAUUCAAAGUCAAUAAUUAUUUUAUAUAUUUUUUAAAAUUCAUUUAACUUAUUUUCCUCUAUUAUGUAAAGAUUAAAUAAAUUUAAAAUACAUCAACUUUUAACUAAUUUAAGUAAUACUUGAUUUUCUUUCGUAUUUUCUAUAUUAAAAUUAAAUAGAAUAAAAUCAUUUUUCUCAACAUUUUUUUUGCCUUAGCAUUUUCCUAAAAUCAAAUAAAACAUAAAAGUUUUGAAUUGAAAGCGUAUGUCAUUGUAUAAUUUUAUUGAUUGGUUGGAUCCUUACUAGGGAAUGAAGUCGUUUUUUGUUUUUUGUAUAUAUUUUGUGUGCUUUUUCUAUGCUAUUGAUAUGCGCUUGGAGAUUUUAAUAAUAUAUAUAUAUAUAUAUAUAUAUAUAUAUAUAUAUAUAUAUAUAUAUAUAUAUAUAUAUAUUUAUAUAUUUUUCUUAACUUCUUAUUUUUAUUUUUAAUGUGAAAGCACUUUUAGAUUUAGCAUGCCCAUAUUAUUAGUUGUAAACAAAUGAUAGAAUUGAAAAGAAUGGUUUGGGCUUUGUUCUCAGAAGAAACAAUGAUGGUAUUAUAAGUAGAGAAAAGGCUACAAAUUAUAGAUGGGAGAUCCUCUCAAUUAGAAGAUGUUAUGAGAGGAAGGUAAAAGAAAGAAUGACAAUAACAAAAAAUAGACACCAACCCAAGGCCCACAGCACAAAUAUCCAAGUCCACCACUGAAACACAAAACAAGGGUGAAGGUGAAGACAAGAUGGAAGGCAUUUGGCUUCAAGGGGAGAUAUGAUCUAUUGGCGAACCUAUCAGCUUCCUGAUCGGUUGCUCUAGACUUUCAACAGAAGGAGCAUCUCAUGUCUCUAGACAGCUUCUCUAUCCUUUUCAACCAAUGGUUAUGUCUCCAUAAACAACCCUUCUUUUAUUUGUGGCAGGUCGAUUUUACAUCUCAAACUUGCAUGGCAUAUUGCUGUUGAAUUGAAACCCACUAAAUUUAUUUUGGCAUUAUGGUCAUCCCCCUCUUAUGUGCUAACUUAUUUCAUUUUCUGCCAGGUUUAGCCCUGAAGCUCUAAACUGGCUGUUCAUCAAGGGAUUGGUUGGCUGGUUUUUGCAAGUCUCACUGCUGAAAGUAUCAUUGCUUUCAUUGGAUAGUGGGGAGGCACCUUUUCUGGACAUUGUGGCAUAGCAGCGUACACUUUCACAGGGAUGUGCUUGGCUGUCCUUGGGAGGGAUCAUGUGGAGCAUCUCAUAUUAUUUCUUGAUGCCCUGGGCAUGCCUAUGCAUGGGAAUAUUCUUGGUAAAGACCAUGAAGAGAAUCCUCUUUGCAGAGGUGAGGAGUUAUGUUUCCAGCAAGCAUCACUAUCUCUUGCUCCUUAUUGCUUUGGCUCAGUUCCCACUUUUCAUAUGGCUUGGCAACAUUAGCCUUCAUUAGCUUUUCUGAACUUCAUCUUUUGAUAAAUGUAUCCGGAAACAAUUUGCUUCUGUGGAAGUCUUAAAAUGUUGUAGUUUUGGUCUAUGAUCUCGGCCAAGUGACCAUUCUCCUGGACUAGAAAUAUUCUUUAAACUUAUGCUAAAGCUUAAAUAUGAUUCAAUUGUUCUCCUAGUUAAAACAGAAACCAAGCACUUGGCUUCCUUGUUCAGAAUUAUUUAUCCUUUUUUUCCCAAUUGAUUGGAAAUGAACUAGUUUAGCACUUGUACUUUGACAUGUUCACUUCAAGCAACUGUAGUUAAUAAAACAAUUGAGCAUGAACUGGAGUUGCCGAUGGAAUCCUGAAAGUGGAUGACAUAAAUUACUUGGUGCCUUCUUCUGGUACAUGAUACUCCUGAACUGAAUGUCAGCAUGGUAUUCAUGAAUCAAGUUUCAAAACAAUUGAGCUCAUAUAGAUCUUGCAUAACUGGAAAUCAAAGUGAAUCUCAUGUUGUUUUUGAUGGGUUUAGAAUAAAAUCAAUGACAUCACUAUGGCCUUUGUCAAUGACUUGGUUUUAAACUCUGGUUCAAAACAUCCACUGCAAUGGGAAAAUGACCUUAACAUCCAGUGAUGACUUCGUUUUAGACUCUGGUUCAAAACAUCCACUGCUAUGAGAUAAUGGCCAUAACAUCUGAUGGACCUCAUUUUCCCAGACACACGGAGAUGGAUUAGGUAGGGGUGACUCUGAAUCACUUGCAUUGAGUCUACUUCGUACAAAGUCCCUGAGGUCAGUUGAAGGUAGUCUGGUGAUCAGCUUGAUAAUUCCAAAUACUUGACGCGAGGCUAGAUGCUUGAGGGUAAAUCAAGAGGCACAGCAGUUGUAAAUCGUCUCCCCAUAUGGCAAAACCUAUUCUGUCACAAUGAUAAAAAGGUGUUCAAUUAUGGCAGGUAAUGGAGCUUCAGGCAAUAGGAUGUGAGACAGUGAGAGGUCAAGAUAGAGCAACAUACAUUUCUUGCCCAUGGAAUGAUGCCCAUCCAAUAUAUACAGACUGCAAUUUUUAGCAUAUUGAAGAAAGUUGGCCUCUCAUUAAGGCACUAAGAUCACAUUUAGAAAUCUCAAAGAAUUCUGAGAAUGUGUCGAUGCCUUGCAUCAUUCCAUUUAGAAAUCUGAGUUCCAGAAAGGUGUUAAUGCCGAUGUUCCGAAAUUUUGAGACCGUGUUGCAAUCUAUUCUCCUGCCACAGUAACAAGAUUUCUUUACAAUGAACAGUCAUGAUAAUUUCACAUCUGCUAAUGCUAGCAUAAGCCACAUUGAGAAAACAAUUGAUCCUUGGAUUAUUACCAAUCUCUAAGGAAUUGAAAAAGGCCAGAUGGUCAAGCUCCAAAGUUCUUGACGACAUUCCCAGUUCACCAAUCAACGAUAGUAUCAUACGUGAAACAGAAGACACAAAGUCUGGAACAUUCAAAAUCAAAAGCAUCUGUUUUGAUUAUUUAGCAAGAAAAAUAACAUAAUGGAUCUUAUUUGUAUGUAUAUCAAGUUUAACAACACGCCAUUGCAUGACUCCUUAAUUGGCUUCCAAUAUUCAGAUAAUUCAAAGGCACCAUUAUGUUUAAUUCCGAUAUAAAAGACUGUCAAAGAAGGGGGAUAUAAAUUUGUACGAGAGUUAACAAACCUCUGGUUUUUUGUCAGCAAAAUCUCAUUAACUGGAUUCCUGAAAAACGUAGUAAAAAUAAGUAAACGCUCAUUAGAGUUAAAUUCCAAAUCCAAAGUCAAUAGAAGGUUGUUUAUUGUAGAACCAAACACAAUUACUAAACCUUAUAAUGCAAGAACACAAAAUUGUCCAGAAACACAUUUUCCAUCUUAUCAGAUCCAAUUUAUGGCCUUCCUGCAUUACUGCAUUUUAUAUUUGAAAGGUAAAUCAGACAUUUUUUAUGUGAGUAAUAAGAGAGUAAAUGGCAUAAAAGGCAAACCAUACAAAUGAAGAAGUUGUAAACAUAUAAGAGUGCUUACUGAUCACUGUUGAAUGAUAUUUAAUUGUCUCUCUUUCAAUCUGCAAGAGUUUAUACUCAGUGAAUCACAGUAUGCUACCAAGAAUAAUGCCUCAUUUCCUCGUUGUUGGAAAAAAAUGUAGUGAAAAACAUGUAAGUUGCCAAUAGAAAUAUACUAAUUUAAAAAUAAAGCAUUUCAAAAUACAUAAGGUUUGUACAAGUUGUAACUGACCUGAAAAAAAUCUGUAUGAUAAAGCUCAUUUUAAUGAAUCCUAACAAUGGUUAAAAAGACAUCCAAAAGGAGGAAAGCUGGAUCAGCAUUGCGCAUCCACCUAAAAGGAGUAACAUGAAAUGCAUCAAAAUAAAAUGAGAUGAAAAGAAAAUAGUAGUGCUCAUAAAAAUCCUUUCUGCAAAAUAAUGCAUAAAGACGAGCAAUUCAUCAAUGUAAAACAAAUACAAACUGUUCUUUAUAUAGGUCAUAGUUCCAUCAGAGAGCAAUUUCAAACCAUCACAACAACUGAGCACAAGACUUAAUAACAUGGAUGACAAACCGAUCCUCAGAAGGAACAUAAAGAAAUGUGUGAUUCUCGACUCUCCAAGAGAUGUGUGACUAUUCAGUCUUACUGGCAGCUUCUCCAAGAUAGCACAAAAAAUAGCUUCAUGUCUACUGAAGACAGGUGAACUAAGCAGUGUCCAAGGAUCGGUGCCAAAAUCCUCUCUGUAAGCUAGUGCUUAGGGAACACCUCAAGUCAUAAACAUAGAAAAUUUAGAAAAAAAGUUAGCAAAUAUAGGAAUCUAAAAAAACCAAUAAAAAUGGAAAAUAAAAAUUGUAACUUACCAUGAUCUUGCUAAGCUGUUGUUUAUCCUCUUUCUACACUCUUAACAUCAACAAUAGAAACAAAAACAACAAGUGGCAAUAGGAAUUUGCCACAGUCACUAUAGACAUGGAGCCUCCAAAUAUAAAACCCGAAUCCCCUUCAACAAGAAGAAAAAUACUUAUACUCUGACACCUGGGACAUGCACCUUUUAUACCUGCAAACUCCAAAAGAAGAGAUACGGUUUCAUCAAAUUAAAAAUUUGAGAAACUAAAGCAAAACCGUUUUGUUUCUGCUCAAAUUUGUACAACUAGGCAUAUGUAAAUAUGACAGUAGAUCACAUUUUGGAAACCAAGUGGGAUAUAUUAGAAUAGAUACAAGCUGCUGUUGUUGCUAUGUAAUAAUUCCAUUAGGUAGUUCUGGGCUAUCACAGUCACAGAGAAAAGACCACUUGGGAUAAAUUGAAAACCAGUUCUUGUGAAAGACAAGUUUCAUGCACUGAAUGGUUCCCAACUUUCAAAGGAAAUAAAAGAUCAUACAACCUUAUGAGCGGCUU
rnacentral:lncRNA from 1 species